rnacentral:rRNA from 1 species
GGUUACUACGCCCCCCGACCUUGGUCUUCUGAGAAGGGUUCGAGGAGAGCAGUUUCUCGGUCCCGAAAGAAGAAGGUGAUCUUUUCUUGAAUAGGUUGAAGUCAGGUGAAAACCUGAUGGAAGACCGCAGCGGGACGACGUGCAAAUCGAUCGUCAAAUUUGGGAAAAGGAAAGAAAGAUUAAUCGAUCCUUUUAGUAGUUGGUUCCGAAGUAAGUUUCCCUCAGGAUAGCAGCAACAAUAAACUUUCUUAUGAUAAAGACAAACAUUUAAAGCCCUUGGGGUUCAACCCCCUUUACCUUUUCCAGAACUNCGGUCCACAGAAUGGUGAGCUUCAAUGGUCCA